rnacentral:tmRNA from 1 species
GGGGAUGCAUUGCAUCGACAAUUAGUACAUUAAUAAAUUGCAAGCCGACUUUGAUAAGUAGUCGCAAAACAUAUAUCAAAAUUAAAUGCUAAAGCAUUUAAAGCUGACGUUUUGGCUUUUGCCGGAACACUCGGCGCUCGACCAGCUUAUGCUGGGGUAAGCAAUUAUCUCACUGUUUAAGCUUUUGAGCUGUUCAUUAUGUCUUUUCUCAGUGAGACAUCUUGAGCAUAAAAACAGCUGAGAAAACUGUAAGGAGAAUGGUUAGAUCCUUAUUGUAUUUAUAACCUCGGCUCUAUUUAUGGAUGUUUGUUUUUAAAGAAUAGAGUAAUCAAAAAAAUAACAAACUAAGCUUGUAGAAAUUUUAUUAAUAAACUUUUUGGACUCGGGAUCACUUCCCGACAUCUCCACAA